rnacentral:tRNA from 4 species
GGGUGAUUAGCUCAGCUGGGAGAGCACCUCCCUUACAAGGAGGGAGGUCGGCGGUUCGAUCCCGUCAUCACCCACCA